GGUUAAGCGACUAAGCGUACACGGUGGAUGCCCUGGCAGUCAGAGGCGAUGAAGGACGUGCUAAUCUGCGAUAAGCGUCGGUAAGGUGAUAUGAACCGUUAUAACCGGCGAUUUCCGAAUGGGGAAACCCAGUGUGAUUCGUCACACUAUCAUUAACUGAAUCCAUAGGUUAAUGAGGCGAACCGGGGGAACUGAAACAUCUAAGUACCCCGAGGAAAAGAAAUCAACCGAGAUUCCCCCAGUAGCGGCGAGCGAACGGGGAGCAGCCCAGAGCCUGAAUCAGUGUGUGUGUUAGUGGAAGCGUCUGGAAAGGCGCGCGAUACAGGGUGACAGCCCCGUACACAAAAAUGCACAUCUGUGAGCUCGAUGAGUAGGGCGGGACACGUGGUAUCCUGUCUGAAUAUGGGGGGACCAUCCUCCAAGGCUAAAUACUCCUGACUGACCGAUAGUGAACCAGUACCGUGAGGGAAAGGCGAAAAGAACCCCGGCGAGGGGAGUGAAAAAGAACCUGAAACCGUGUACGUACAAGCAGUGGGAGCACGCUUAGGCGUGUGACUGCGUACCUUUUGUAUAAUGGGUCAGCGACUUAUAUUCUGUAGCAAGGUUAACCGAAUAGGGGAGCCGAAGGGAAACCGAGUCUUAACUGGGCGUUAAGUUGCAGGGUAUAGACCCGAAACCCGGUGAUCUAGCCAUGGGCAGGUUGAAGGUUGGGUAACACUAACUGGAGGACCGAACCGACUAAUGUUGAAAAAUUAGCGGAUGACUUGUGGCUGGGGGUGAAAGGCCAAUCAAACCGGGAGAUAGCUGGUUCUCCCCGAAAGCUAUUUAGGUAGCGCCUCGUGAAUUCAUCUCCGGGGGUAGAGCACUGUUUCGGCAAGGGGGUCAUCCCGACUUACCAACCCGAUGCAAACUGCGAAUACCGGAGAAUGUUAUCACGGGAGACACACGGCGGGUGCUAACGUCCGUCGUGAAGAGGGAAACAACCCAGACCGCCAGCUAAGGUCCCAAAGUCAUGGUUAAGUGGGAAACGAUGUGGGAAGGCCCAGACAGCCAGGAUGUUGGCUUAGAAGCAGCCAUCAUUUAAAGAAAGCGUAAUAGCUCACUGGUCGAGUCGGCCUGCGCGGAAGAUGUAACGGGGCUAAACCAUGCACCGAAGCUGCGGCAGCGACGCUUAUGCGUUGUUGGGUAGGGGAGCGUUCUGUAAGCCUGCGAAGGUGUGCUGUGAGGCAUGCUGGAGGUAUCAGAAGUGCGAAUGCUGACAUAAGUAACGAUAAAGCGGGUGAAAAGCCCGCUCGCCGGAAGACCAAGGGUUCCUGUCCAACGUUAAUCGGGGCAGGGUGAGUCGACCCCUAAGGCGAGGCCGAAAGGCGUAGUCGAUGGGAAACAGGUUAAUAUUCCUGUACUUGGUGUUACUGCGAAGGGGGGACGGAGAAGGCUAUGUUGGCCGGGCGACGGUUGUCCCGGUUUAAGCGUGUAGGCUGGUUUUCCAGGCAAAUCCGGAAAAUCAAGGCUGAGGCGUGAUGACGAGGCACUACGGUGCUGAAGCAACAAAUGCCCUGCUUCCAGGAAAAGCCUCUAAGCAUCAGGUAACAUCAAAUCGUACCCCAAACCGACACAGGUGGUCAGGUAGAGAAUACCAAGGCGCUUGAGAGAACUCGGGUGAAGGAACUAGGCAAAAUGGUGCCGUAACUUCGGGAGAAGGCACGCUGAUAUGUAGGUGAAGUCCCUCGCGGAUGGAGCUGAAAUCAGUCGAAGAUACCAGCUGGCUGCAACUGUUUAUUAAAAACACAGCACUGUGCAAACACGAAAGUGGACGUAUACGGUGUGACGCCUGCCCGGUGCCGGAAGGUUAAUUGAUGGGGUUAGCGCAAGCGAAGCUCUUGAUCGAAGCCCCGGUAAACGGCGGCCGUAACUAUAACGGUCCUAAGGUAGCGAAAUUCCUUGUCGGGUAAGUUCCGACCUGCACGAAUGGCGUAAUGAUGGCCAGGCUGUCUCCACCCGAGACUCAGUGAAAUUGAACUCGCUGUGAAGAUGCAGUGUACCCGCGGCAAGACGGAAAGACCCCGUGAACCUUUACUAUAGCUUGACACUGAACAUUGAGCCUUGAUGUGUAGGAUAGGUGGGAGGCUUUGAAGUGUGGACGCCAGUCUGCAUGGAGCCGACCUUGAAAUACCACCCUUUAAUGUUUGAUGUUCUAACGUGGACCCGUAAUCCGGGUUGCGGACAGUGUCUGGUGGGUAGUUUGACUGGGGCGGUCUCCUCCUAAAGAGUAACGGAGGAGCACGAAGGUUGGCUAAUCCUGGUCGGACAUCAGGAGGUUAGUGCAAUGGCAUAAGCCAGCUUGACUGCGAGCGUGACGGCGCGAGCAGGUGCGAAAGCAGGUCAUAGUGAUCCGGUGGUUCUGAAUGGAAGGGCCAUCGCUCAACGGAUAAAAGGUACUCCGGGGAUAACAGGCUGAUACCGCCCAAGAGUUCAUAUCGACGGCGGUGUUUGGCACCUCGAUGUCGGCUCAUCACAUCCUGGGGCUGAAGUAGGUCCCAAGGGUAUGGCUGUUCGCCAUUUAAAGUGGUACGCGAGCUGGGUUUAGAACGUCGUGAGACAGUUCGGUCCCUAUCUGCCGUGGGCGCUGGAGAACUGAGGGGGGCUGCUCCUAGUACGAGAGGACCGGAGUGGACGCAUCACUGGUGUUCGGGUUGUCAUGCCAAUGGCACUGCCCGGUAGCUAAAUGCGGAAGAGAUAAGUGCUGAAAGCAUCUAAGCACGAAACUUGCCCCGAGAUGAGUUCUCCCUGACUCCUUGAGAGUCCUGAAGGAACGUUGAAGACGACGACGUUGAUAGGCCGGGUGUGUAAGCGCAGCGAUGCGUUGAGCUAACCGGUACUAAUGAACCGUGAGGCUUAACCUUAC
rnacentral:rRNA from 1 species